CUCUCUGUGCUUGCACUUUUGAUGAUCUCAAAGAGAAGCAAUCUUGUGAUUUGAGCCUGGAUCAUAGCAGGAGCUGAAGCCCGUUGGAAUCACUGGGUAGACUCAGAAGGAAAGGCUAACCUGGCAAAGACACAGAUCUCUAUAAGAAUCAUGAUGUUUCCAAGGCAGCACAUGGUUUGGGGAAAUUGGAGAGAAUACUCCCGAUGGAAAGGGAUAACAUCACAGCUGCCACAACAAUGCUAUCCAGUGAGCAAAUGUCGGAUGUUCAGAGGGACCAAGUCAUCUUGAUUAGAAUCGUGGAGGUAUGAGUUUCAAAGUGGAAUAAUCUCAUAUUUAAUAAAUUUGCAAUCUCUUCACAGUGCACUGGAAAAGGGAACAUGCUUAAAAUAAUUCCAGGGACUUGGCUCCUGGGCUUAUUCAGAUAUCGGAAUGAUUGUCAGGGACUGGUUUAUUGUCUUGCUAGGAUGAAGUAGAUGCUUUUAAAUCUCUUUUCUAUUGUGCAUGUCUGUGGGAACACAUGUUUGCUCUUCUUUUUCACCCAAAAUAUUAAAAAGCUGUUCAAAUUGCC
rnacentral:lncRNA from 1 species